AACGAACGCUGGCGGCAUGCUUUACACAUGCAAGUCGAACGGCAGCGCGGGGCAACCUGGCGGCGAGUGGCGAACGGGUGAGUAAUAUAUCGGAACGUACCCAAGAGUGGGGGAUAACGUAGCGAAAGUUACGCUAAUACCGCAUACGAUCUAAGGAUGAAAGUGGGGGACCGCAAGGCCUCAUGCUCCCGGAGCGGCCGAUAUCUGAUUAGCUAGUUGGUGAGGUAAAGGCUCACCAAGGCGACGAUCAGUAGCUGGUCUGAGAGGACGACCAGCCACACUGGAACUGAGACACGGUCCAGACUCCUACGGGAGGCAGCAGUGGGGAAUUUUGGACAAUGGGGGCAACCCUGAUCCAGCAAUGCCGCGUGAGUGAAGAAGGCCUUCGGGUUGUAAAGCUCUUUUGUCAGGGAAGAAACGGCUGCGGCUAAUAUCCGCGGCUAAUGACGGUACCUGAAGAAUAAGCACCGGCUAACUACGUGCCAGCAGCCGCGGUAACAC
rnacentral:rRNA from 1 species